AGGACGAACGCUGGCGGCGCGCCUAAAACAUGCAAGUCGAACGAGAAGCCCGGGCUUGCCCGGGUGGACAGUGGCGAACGGGUGAGUAACACGUGAGGAACCUGCCCCGAAGACCGGGACAACAUCGGGAAACCGUUGCUAAUACCGGAUGCCCUCGAAGAAUCGCAUGGUUCAUCGAGGAAAUGGAUUCCGCUUCGGGAUGGCCUCGCGGCCUAUCAGCUUGUUGGUGAGGUAAUGGCUCACCAAGGCAUCGACGGGUAGCUGGUCUGAGAGGAUGUCCAGCCACACUGGGACUGAGACACGGCCCAGACUCCUACGGGAGGCAGCAGUUAGGAAUCUUGCGCAAUGGACGAAAGUCUGACGCAGCGACGCCGCGUGCGGGAUGAAGGCCCUCGGGUUGUAAACCGCUUUCAGCAGGGACGAAAUUGACGGUACCUGCAGAAGAGCCCGGCAACUACGUGCCAGCAGCCGC
rnacentral:rRNA from 1 species